GAUGAACGCUAGCGGGAGGCCUAACACAUGCAAGCCGAGGGGUAUGAGGCUGUCGCUUGUCGGAUACCUGAGCACGGGUGCGUAACGCGGAUGUAACUGACCCCAUGCACGGGGGUAGCGCUUCGCUACGGGGAUUAAUACCGGAUAACACUAAUCGUGGCAUGCACUAUGGGUGAAAGCUUUAUCGCAAUGGGACACACAUGCGUCAGAUUGGGUGGUUGGAGAGGUAACGGCUCACCAAGGCGAUGAUCUGGAGGGGGCAUGAGAGCGUGACCCCCCACAAUGGUACUGCGGCACGGACCCGACUCCUACGCAAGGCAGCAGUGAGGAAUAUUGGACACUGGGUGCGGGUCUGAUCCAGCCAUCCCGAGUGCAGGAAGACGGCCCUAUGGGUGGUAAACUGCUUUUGUAUGGGAAUAAACCGCCUUUCGCGUAGCGUGUUGAAGGUACCCUAAGAAUAAGCACCGGCUAACUCCGUG
rnacentral:rRNA from 1 species